UGGUAUCCGGUCAGUCCUGGUUUUUGGCCACUAGGUGGAUGCAUAGACUGGUAGCUGGCUUGAGCUGACUGCAGGCCACUAGGCUGUGAGAUGGGCUGGUAUUGGAUCCGUCCUGGCUUUUGGCCACCAGGCUGGGGCACAAUCUGGUAGAGCGUUUGGGCUGACUGCAGGCCACUGGGCUGUUGCAUAGACUGGUAGCUGGCUUGUGCUGUCUGCUGGCCACUAGACUCGUCCACAAAUGGAGAGAUGGCU